rnacentral:rRNA from 1 species
GAUGAACGCUGGCGGCGUGCCUAAUACAUGCAAGUCGAGCGAACGGACGAGAAGCUUGCUUCUCUGAUGUUAGCGGCGGACGGGUGAGUAACACGUGGAUAACCUACCUAUAAGACUGGGAUAACUUCGGGAAACCGGAGCUAAUACCGGAUAAUAUUUUGAACCGCAUGGUUCAAAAGUGAAAGACGGUCUUGCUGUCACUUAUAGAUGGAUCCGCGCUGCAUUAGCUAGUUGGUAAGGUAACGACUUACCAAGGCAACGAUGCCUAGCCGACCUGAGAGGGUGAUCUGCCACACUGGAACUGGGCCACGGUCCAGACUCCUACGGGAGGCAGCAGUAGGGAAUCUUCCGCAAUGGGCGAAAGCCUGACGGAGCAACGCCGCGUGAGUGAUGAAGGUCUUCGGAUCGUAAAACUCUGUUAUUAGGGAAGAACAUAUGUGUAAGUAACUAUGCACAUCUUGACGGUACCUAAUCAGAAAGCCACGGCUAACUACGUG